UGGGUAAGGUGAUCGUGAGACUGAACUCAGU
rnacentral:piRNA from 1 species